rnacentral:pre_miRNA from 1 species
GUGGAUCAGGAAGAGGAAGAAAAGAGGGUCUGAGAGCGGUGGGCAUGGGAACAUGGAGGAAAGCCCAAACUCUUCUUCGCCUCUAGAACUAGGGGCUGAGAUUUGGUUUCCUUGUUUUCCUGAUGCCUCCCAUGCCUAUUGUUCUCAGAUGCUCCUUCCUCUUCCUUUUGGUUCGC